rnacentral:rRNA from 1 species
UGGGGAAUUUUGGACAAUGGGCGAAAGCCUGAUCCAGCAAUGCCGCGUGUGUGAAGAAGGCCUUCGGGUUGUAAAGCACUUUUUGUCCGGAAAGAAAUCCUUGGCUCUAAUACAGUCGGGGGAUGACGGUACCGGAAGAAUAAGCACCGGCUAACUACGUGCCAGCAGCCGCGGUAAUACGUAGGGUGCAAGCGUUAAUCGGAAUUACUGGGCGUAAAGCGUGCGCAGGCGGUUUGCUAAGACCGAUGUGAAAUCCCCGGGCUCAACCUGGGAACUGCAUUGGUGACUGGCAGGCUAGAGUAUGGCAGAGGGGGGUAGAAUUCCACGUGUAGCAGUGAAAUGCGUAGAGAUGUGGAGGAAUACCGAUGGCGAAGGCAGCCCCCUGGGCCAAUACUGACGCUCAUGCACGAAAAGCGUGGGGGAGCAAAACAGGAUUAGAUACCCCUGGGUAGUCCACGCCCUAAANGAUGUCAACUAGUUGUUGGGGAUUCAUUUCCUUAGUAACGUAGCUAACGCGUGAAGUUGACCGCCU